UAGGGAAUCUUCCACAAUGGACGCAAGUCUGAUGGAGCAACGCCGCGUGAGUGAAGAAGGGUUUCGGCUCGUAAAGCUCUGUUGUUAAAGAAGAAUGUGGGUAAGAGUAACUGUUUACCCAGUGACGGUAUUUAACCAGAAAGCCACGGCUAACUACGUGCCAA
rnacentral:rRNA from 1 species